rnacentral:misc_RNA from 1 species
GAAAUGCGAUAAGUAAUGUGAAUUGCAGAAUUCAGUGAAUCAUCGAAUCUUUGAACGCACCUUGCGCUCCUUGGUAUUCCGAGGAGCAUGCCUGUUUGAGUGUCAUGGAAUUCUCAACUCUAUUUGCUUUUGUGAAUAGAGCUUGGAUUUGGAGGUUUAUUGCUGGUACUUGUGAUCGGCUCCUCUUGAAUGCAUUAGCUCGAACCUUUGCGGAUCAGCUAUCGGUGUGAUAAUUGUCUACGCCGUUGCAGUGAAGCAUAUCAAUGGGCUCGGCUUCCAAUCGUCCUUUACUGGACAAUGACUUUGACCUUUGACCUCAAAUCAGGUAGGAUUACCCGCUGAACUAAAGC